ACCAACAGGGAUUGCCUCAGUAACGGCGAGUGAAGCGGCAACAGCUCAAAUUUGAAAUCUGGCUCCUCAGGGGCCCGAGUUGUAAUUUGUAGAAGAUGCUUUGGGUGAGGUACCGGUCUAAGUCCCUUGGAACAGGGCGUCGUAGAGGGUGAGAAUCCCGUAUGUGACCGGUUGCCUUCGCCUAUGUAAAGCUCUUUCGACGAGUCGAGUUGUUUGGGAAUGCAGCUCUAAAUGGGUGGUAUAUUUCAUCUAAAGCUAAAUAUUGGCCAGAGACCGAUAGCGCACAAGUAGAGUGAUCGAAAGAUGAAAAGCACUUUGGAAAGAGAGUUAAACAGUACGUGAAAUUGUUGAAAGGGAAGCGCUUGCAAUCAGACUUGUAUGUAGUUGAUCAUCUGGUGUUUUCACCGGUGCACUCUGCUAUAUUCAGGCCAGCAUCGGUUCUAGUGGUUGGAUAAAGGCCUGUGGAACGUAGCUCCUCUCGGGGAGUGUUAUAGCCUCAGGUGCAAUGCAGCCCACUGGGACCGAGGACCGCGCUUCGGCUAGGAUGCUGGCGUAAUGGUUGUAAGCGACCCGUCUUGAAACACGGACCAAGGAGUCUAACAUCUGUGCAAGUGUUUGGGUGUCAAACCCAUUCGCGUAAUGAAAGUGAACGGAGGUGAGAACCCUUAAGGGUGCAUCAUCGACCGAUCCUGAUGUCUUCGGAUGGAUUUGAGUAAGAGCAUAGCUGUUGGGACCCGAAAGAUGGUGAACUAUGCGUGAAUAGGGUGAAGCCAGAGGAAACUCUGGUGGAGGCUCGCAGCGGUUCUGACGUGCAAAUCGAUCGUCAAAUUUGCGCAUAGGGGCGAAAGACUAAUCGAACCAUUGGAACUACUACUCGGUGGUUAAGAGGUGCUAUAGCGCCUAACUCGCCAGGGUAAUACUAUCAAAUUGCGGGGACAUCCUGUUAACUUCCAAACCACCGCAGCCCCCCCGAAAGGGGAGGUGCGCACCAGGGUAACGACCUCGGGGAUGGUAAAAGCGUUUGGAUAGGGACAAUCCGCAGCCAAGUCCUACCGGCCCUUGAGCCCAUGGAUGCAGUUCACAGACUAAAUGUUAGUAGGUUAGGGUCUCCCUGGCUUAAGGUAUAGUCGAUCCCCUCCGGAGACGGUGGGGUAUAGGAGCUAGUAGCUGGUUCCUGCCGAAGUUUCCCUCAGGAUAGCAGUGUUGAAUUCAGUUUUAUGAGGUAAAGCGAAUGAUUAGAGGCCUUGGGGUUGCAACAACCUUAACCUAUUCUCAAACUUUAAAUAUGUAAGAAGUCCUUGUUACUUAAUUGAACGUGGACAUUCGAAUGUACCAACACUAGUGGGCCAUUUUUGGUAAGCAGAACUGGCGAUGCGGGAUGAACCGAACGUGAAGUUAAGGUGCCGGAAUAUACGCUCAUCAGACACCACAAAAAGUGUUAGUUCAUCUAGACAGCAGGACGGUGACCAUGGAAGUCGGGAUCCGCUAAGGACUGUGUAACAACUCACCUGCCGAAUGAACUAGCCUUGAAAAUGGAUGGCGCUUAAGCGUAUUACCUAUACUUCACCGCCAGGGUAGAAACGAUGCCCUGGCGAGUAGGCAGGCGUGGAGGUCAGUGACGAAGCCUUGGGAGG
rnacentral:rRNA from 1 species